rnacentral:lncRNA from 1 species
ACUUGCCAUGCUGGUGUUUCAGUGGGACUCAAACCCCUGUAUUCAGAGGAGCAGCAGCUCAGGUCAAACCACUCUAUCAGCAUCACAACUGCUCUGUUUAUCCCAGUUUAAGAAAACAAAGAAUGCAAUGUGCAGACAUUCUAUUGAAAAUAAAACAUUAGAGCAAGAGAAAUUGACUGGAGAUUCGCACAAGAAAUUUCUCCAAGAGCCUAGUAGCCACAUUGCUGAGGCUUCUGAACUACAGCUAAAGGACCUGGCUUCCAGAUUGAGUAAUAAUGUGCUUAAAAAUGCAUUGAACGUGAUGGCUGGUCAGAGCCAGGCAAACAAGUCUGACUGUCUCAGCAAAGACCAGACAAAUUGUAUUAAUAAAGAGAAAUCCUGUGAAUGUAAAGUUUGCCAGCCUUCAGUUAAUGGCGGGAUGUUUAAGGGAAAGACUGCAAUCCUUCAAGAAGACAAGACUGGAAAUGAGGUGGAGGGAAUGAUGGACCGGGACAAGGCGAACAGAGCAGGGGGGAGCUGGGUCUCUGCACAGCAGAACGUGCCUGAUAGCUGUUGCCGUGGUGCCGGGUGGCAUGACCGUAAACCAGGCUUGGAUAAGUUCAAGAAGUUUUUGCAAGGAACGUCAGGAGAGAAAAUAAUUAACCUCUGGAUGGAUAUUGAGAAAUUGAAAAUUGUACAACACAGAGAGCGGAAGAACAGGUACCUGGUGCUGAUGAGGAGCCGCUAUCUGCUGAGCAGCAGUCGCAGCAGUCUGCAUGCAGAGCUGCUGUCCAGACUGGGCCUAUCUACACCCCCCUGCUGGACAGAAGAGAAACUGCACUCAGUUCAGCCUGUCCUCACUGAGGCUCUUCUCUCUUACUGGUAUUUAACUCUACAGUCUAAACCAGAUCAAAGAUCAAAGUGUUGCCACUAUCCGUGUAGCACUGUGGACCCAGUGGAUAUUGAACCAUCAUUGUAA